rnacentral:rRNA from 1 species
UACGUAGGGUGCAAGCGUUGUCCGGAAUUAUUGGGCGUAAAGGGCUCGUAGGCGGUUUGUCGCGUCGGGAGUGAAAACUCAGGGCUUAACCCUGAGCCUGCUUCCGAUACGGGCAGACUAGAGGUAUGCAGGGGAGAACGGAAUUCCUGGUGUAGCGGUGAAAUGCGCAGAUAUCAGGAGGAACACCGGUGGCGAAGGCGGUUCUCUGGGCAUUAACUGACGCUGAGGAGCGAAAGCAUGGGGAGCGAACAGG